rfam:Triticum aestivum genome assembly, contig: Triticum_aestivum_CS42_TGACv1_scaffold_019539_1AS
ACCUACUUGACUCAGCGGUUAGAGUAUCGCUUCCAUACGGCGAGAGUCAUUGGUUCAAAUCCAAUAGUAGGUA